rnacentral:rRNA from 1 species
UUAACACAUGCAAGUCGAACGAGAUCUUCGGAUCUAGUGGCAGACGGGUGAGUAACGCGUGGGAACCUGCCCAGUAGUAGAGAAUAACUUGAGGAAACUUAAGCUAAUACUUUAUACACCCUCCGGGGAAAAGCUUUAUGCGCUAUUGGAUGGGCCCGCGUUAGAUUAGUUUGUUGGUGAGGUAAUGGCUCACCAAGACUACGAUCUAUAGCUGGUCUGAGAGGAUGAUCAGCCACACUGGGACUGAGACACGGCCCAGACUCCUACGGGAGGCAGCAGUGGGGAAUAUUGGACAAUGGGGGCAACCCUGAUCCAGCGAUGCCGCGUGAGUGAUGAAGGCCUUCGGGUUGUAAAACUCUUUCGUCAGGGAAGAUAAUGACGGUACCUGAAGAAGAAGAUCCGGCUAACUCCGUGCCAGCAGCCGCGGUAAUACGGAGGGAUCUAGCGUUAUUCGGAAUUACUGGGCGUAAAGCGAGCGUAGGCGGAUUUGUAAGUUGGAGGUGAAAUCCCAGAGCUUAACUCUGGAACUGCCUUCAAAACUACAUUUCUUGAGUUUGGUAGAGGAGAGUGGAAUUCCUAGUGUAGAGGUGAAAUUCGUAGAUAUUAGGAGGAACACCAGUGGCGAAGGCGACUCUCUGGGCCAAUACUGACGCUGAGGUUCGAAAGCAUGGGUAGCGAACAGGAUUAGAUACCCUGGUAGUCCAUGCAGUAAACGAUGAGUGCUAGAUGUUGGGAAUUUAAAUUUCCAGUAUCGCAGUUAACGCGUUAAGCACUCCGCCU